rnacentral:rRNA from 1 species
GACGUAGGGCGCGAGCGUUGUCCGGAUUUAUUGGGCGUAAAGAGCUCGUAGGCGGUUUGUCGCGUCUGCUGUGAAAACGCGAGGCUCAACCUCGCGCCUGCAGUGGGUACGGGCAGACUAGAGUGCGGUAGGGGAGAUUGGAAUUCCGGGUGUAGCGGUGGAAUGCGUAGAGAUCCGGAAGAACACCAGUGGCGAAGGCGGCCCGCUGGGCAGUGGCUGACGCUGAGGCGCGACAGCGUGGGGAGCAAACAGG